UACGGAGGGUGCAAGCGUUAUCCGGAUUCACUGGGUUUAAAGCGUGCGCAGGCGGUUUUGUAAGCCAGAUGUGAAAGCCCCGGGCUCAACCUGGGAAUGGCAUUUGGGACUGCAAGGCUUGAGUGCGGCAGAGGAGACUGGAAUUCCUGGUGUAGCAGUGAAAUGCGUAGAUAUCAGGAGGAACACCGAUGGCGAAGGCAGGUCUCUGGGCUGACACUGACGCUCAUGCACGAAAGCGUGGGGAGCAAACAGG
rnacentral:rRNA from 1 species